GUAGGGAAUAUUGGACAAUGGGGGCAACCCUGAUCCAGCGACGCCGCGUGAGUGAUGAAGGCCUUCGGGUCGUAAAGCUCUGUUGCAGGGGAAGAACACAAUGACGGUACCCUGCUAGAAAGGAUCGGCUAACUUCGUGCCAGCAGCCGCGGUAAGACGAGGGAUCCUAGCGUUGUUCGGAAUUAUUGGGCGUAAAGCGGGUGCAGAUGGCUUGGUAAGUCAGAUGUGAAAGCCUGGGGCUUAACCCCAGAAGUGCAUUUGAUACUGCUGAGCUUGAGUGCUGGAGAGGCUAUUAGAAUUCCUGGUGUAGUGGUGAAAUACGUAGAUAUCAGGAGGAAUACCGGAGGCGAAGGCGGAUAGCUGGCCAGACACUGACACUCAGACCCGAAAGCGUGGGGAUCAAACAGGAUUAGAAACCCGUGUAGUCC
rnacentral:rRNA from 1 species